rnacentral:rRNA from 1 species
CUCUUCUUGUAUUUAUUUGAGGUAUAACCUGCCCAAUGAGUUUUGAAUGGCCGCAGUAUUUUGACUGUGCAAAGGUAGCAUAAUCAAUAGUCUUUUAAUUGGGGGCUGGAAUGAAUGGUUGGACGAGAUAAGAACUAUCUUAAUUUUAUUUUAUUAAAAUUUAAUUUUUAAGUUAAAAAGCUUAAAUAAUUUUAUGGGACGAGAAGACCCUAUAGAGUUUAAUAUUUUUGAUUAAGUCUUUGUUGAAUGAAUAUAAACUAUUUUAGAAAAUAUUUUAUUGGGGUGAUAGAAAGAUAUAUAUAACUCUUUUUAUUUUUAAUUAUUUAUUUAUAUAUUUAUGAUCCACUAUUUGUGAUUAUAAGAUUAAAUUACC